AUGAAUAAAGCCAGCACAGAAAAUCAGCAGGCAUGGGCUAUAAAUAUUAACUUUGUUCCUCAUUUUGUUCUCCCAUGCUGUUCCCAUGGAGACAUAGCUCCUCCAUGUAUCUGGAAUUCAGGCUGCCCAAGGGACGUGACCGAGAGCUGCGAGAGAGGCCCAGUGGAGAGACAAGCGCUGUGUAAAGCCUCCAAGCCCUGUGCCAGCGGACUCCUUCCUCUUCCUUCUCACUCUCUUUUUCCCUUUCCCAUUUUCAUUAGAACUGGACCAUCAGCUGGAUUUUGUAAUGAGAUAUACACUCAAAAAACUACUUCUCCAUUUGCAAACAUUUUCAAGCUCCAUGGGCUUGGAAGUCUCCUCACCACAAGCUGACUGAGCAAUUCUGUGGAAAAGCUGGCUCACGCUGUUCACUGUGAAGCUCUCUCCCUCCGCCAGAUACUGCCUUCCGGCCUCCCUCUGAGCCCUAAUCCUAUUCAAGGCCACAGAAAACAGGUUUAAACAAAACACAGCCAGCAGAGACAUCCUAACCUUCAUUUUAACACUGGACAUUUUCUGAACAUAACCUAUAAUCUUUGUUAAGUACUGUAUGCCCUCGACAUGGCUCCUCUGACACUGAGACUUAUCCUCUCUGGAAAUGUAUAACAAAGGGUAGAAUGAGAAAGAGAAUAUAAAUGGACUAAGUCUGCUAUCCAAGCUUUCAACCUAAAUGAAAAUCAAUCAAGCCUCCGCAGUUACAUCAGGCAACACUGGCUAUGUUGAAUCAUGUGCUAUGUAAACAUGGAUUUUUUCAAAGACCAGAGCUGUACUAUCCAGAGGUCACAUAAUACUUUUUUUUUUUUUUCUUUCUUGAGACAGAGUCUGGCUCUGUAUCCCAGCCUGGAGUGCAGUGGCAUAAUCUCAGCUCACUGUAGCCUCAACCUCUCGGGUUCAAUAUGGGUUUUGCCUCAUUGCCCAGGCUAGUCUUGAACUCCUGGCCUCAAG
rnacentral:lncRNA from 10 species